rnacentral:lncRNA from 1 species
CUGGCUACUGAUCCCAUUCUUACUAGUGCGGAUCUAAAAUAGAGGUAAUGCCCGGGACAACUCCCGUCUUCUAGCCUUGCUUUCCUGCCUCGCAAACAGAUAUUCAUGUCUUUGAAGUUCCCAGUUGAUUGUUUGAUUUAUUGUAUACUUACGCUUUAGUCUGUUUGUCGACAGUUCCAUCCCUAUUAGUAGGAGGGAAAGCCUAGGGGUUGUGUUUGCUCUACCGGACCACGCUUCAUUCCUGUAUGGAUUAGUAUUUGCUUCUAUUUUAUUAGCGAAACUAGGGCAAACAAGGUGCUGAAAGCCUGCCGCUACACUCUUUCGGUCCGGAUCCUGUGCUUUAAAUACAUACCUCUUUAGUCCCUACCUCUCUUUCAAGUAGUAAAUAAGGGCUUACUUUAAAUACCACUAAUAAUAGUUUACUACCCAACGGAUAAGUCAUAAUAGUUUACUAAGAUCUUUGUACUUAUUCGAAUCCUUCACCAAGAACAGAAAGAACGGAGAACCACUUAGCGCAUCAAAGUAUCCAAUUUCAGAAUCCUUAUUUGCUUGCGAGCGUAUAAGCACUAAAACACUAUGAACCUAUCCCUAUGACUUAGAAUCAAUCACUUCUAUCGGAGAAGCAGAAUAUCUAAUCCCCAAAGAACUACACUUUCCAUUUAUUCUUAUUAUAUGGUUUCGUUCUGUAUUUGUUUAUUGAUUGUUAAAUAGAAUUUCAUAGCACUAGGGAAGGGCGGACCAAUAGUAAUGAUAGUAAUAUUGAUAGAGGAAAGUGAGAAUCGAAGAGGGGAAAGCUGCCUGUCGGACCGGCGGUUCUUGCUAAGGUUAGCCUGUAUCAUUGACCCCUACCCCUAUUCUCUUGUAUUGCUCCUAGCCCUAUGUCUACUCGGGAUGGCGCCUAUAUAGAAUAGAACCUUUCCUGUCCGGAAACUCAAGGCAUCGCAGCUGACGCUGCCCUCGCAUCAAAG